UUACAUGACGCUCCUAUAUUCUGACAAUUUUCCUGAAACAUAAUGUGAAAAUAAAAUAUUGAGGAAGGGGAUGGGGAAUAUGUGAGGUCCGAUUUGCCAAAUAUCGUCUGUAAGAGCUGCCUGUUUUUCAAGCUAAUGUAGUUAAGACACUUCAGUUUAUUCAUGAAAAAUACUGUGGUUGGGAGGAGGGAACUAUUCACCCUCAAAAUAUAAAAAUCAACACAUUCUCAAAUGCCUUAGUUUUAUUUUUGCAAAGAUUUGGCCUAGAAAUGACCUUGUCUUAUGCAAAAAGCCCCACAUUAGUCUGGUGGCAACUUCACUAUGCCAGAACUUUGACUGGUAUGUCUGGUAGGAAAGCCAAAUGGAGCUGAAAACAUUUUCAGUCGUAAGAAUGUUAACAUUCUGAGUUCUUCAGAGACAACAAUAUUGAUUAAAACUGCUACUGUUUAUAUCACUGUAGGAAUCCAUGUGGAAGUGUCGAAUUUUACAAAUGGCCAUGUUUACAAGACGGUAGUGGAUUGGGGUUUUUCUGUACAAGUGGCUGAUGGAUGGCGGCUAGUAGAAGAUGUGCAACUUCUUUAGUAUUGAACGUCCUUCACAGUAAAAACCAGCAGUCAAAACAUUUCAAACCUCCUUAAGUGGGGAUUUGAGUUGCGAAUCUGAGCUUUGCAACCUCCUCUCUGAAGCACUUUGGAGUCUGCACCUGUAAACAGGCAACAGAACAGCCUCCGUAGCUUCAAAACCGCGCCUGCUGCUUCCCUUCAAUUUCUUGGUGCAGCCUGGACUGCUUGUAAGCACCAUUUUGAAAUGUUAACACACAAUUAGUAUGUUUUUUUGGGAAAUAUCCACAACUGUAGAAUGCAUCUUUCCCUUUCCAUGUCAUGACUGUAGAGCUCUUGUUCAAGUGGAAGAACGCUUGGUUUGAAAUUUGCCCUCACACAGCUUUGUUUAAAACGCAGCGCUGCUGCUUCAGGUACUAAAUCCACUGCCAAGAGUGUUGCUUCUUUACUAUUCUUUUGGAUGGGGUUUUAUUCUGGCUGCCUCCGGUGGUAGACGCUUCUCUUUGGAAAUGUGCUUCUUUGUAGGAAGUUCAAAAAACUCCCCUCUUCCCGCUCCACACACCACCAGGGCCCUUUGUGAUUUGUUGGUCUUGAGGGGUACAGAUGAGACAGGCUGGUUUUUAAUAUUAAAAUACGUCCUUGUGCCAGAAGUACAGGUACCUAUGAACCUCUAACUUUUUCCAGUUAAACAGUACCCUCCUUGGUGCUGUUUUGUUCUCCCCAAAUUUGAGUGUGUACUCUAUGCUGAGGUAAAAUUAAAAUUCUUCCUUUCCUCCAGUAUUUUGGGUUCUCCCCCCCCUCUACUGAAACAUAGUGAAAACCACGGUUUAUGUUAGUUUCCCCUCCUGUUUCCAUCUUCCCCCUGCCACUGGAUGUUCUGUCAUCUUUAGGUUCCUGGCCUGGCUUGGUAUGGGUGGAGCACUCCUUGAACAUUUGGAGUAAUGUUAACAGUGGUUUACAUCACCUUGAUGUAAAUUUCAUUCCCUGAGGGAGGUGGGGAUGUAUUGUGUUAACUGAAAAAUAAAAAUAAUUCCAACCCCCAUUGCUGGGAAGUAUCUCCAGAAGACUAAUUUUCCACCUUCUAACUAGGGAGAGGUAAUUUAUUAAGACCUUGGGGCCCUUACUUUAGAUAGCAAUCUUUACUCCCUUAUACCUCCUGUUAACUAUCUCCUCAGAAUAAGUAAGAUUUAGUUCCUGGUGAUGACUGCCAUACCAGAAGGUCCAUGUAAUUCAAGCCUUUUCCGUAAUCUAAUAUUGCACAGUCUUACAAAAAGACUAACCAUAACAGAAUUUCUUAUCAAGGUCCACCAUGUUGGAAGGUCAUACCAAGGUACUACCAUGGUGGAACA